ensembl:lncRNA
UAAACAGCACGUGAACAGGCAGCAGCAGAGCGCGUGGCAGUGCAUUGUUAUUGUUAUUAUUAUUAUUAUUAUUAUUAUUAUUAUUAUUAUUAUUAUUACACACUGCGGUGAGGGAAGAACAGUCAGUGGAUUUGGGAGAUGAAGAUUUAUGGAGUAUUUCUUCAGUUUUAACUCUCUGGACAUUUUCUUGGUUAAUUCGGCGACAUGAACUCCAGUGGAUUAUCAGACCAAGAGAUCACAGCUCUCUCUUCCGUGUAUGUCUCCUGUCUCAGUUUAAGCACCGCUUCCCCUGGACAGCGGUCCAGCUCUCCAUCUCCACAUCUCCAUCACCUCACACACAUCCUGUCACUGCAGUGUUACAGUGUUUAAUCGUAACCUCAACACCGCAGAGUGUUCUAUCAGUGUGCAGUAAGAUAUUAUUUUAUUUACAGUUUAAUUGGGAGCUGCUCUGUUUUCAUCACAUCAAUUAUGAAGAGAGAAAAGCUCAAAGAACAGGCGAAGCCUCUGAUCCAGCUGGCUCUAGCGGACCUCCUGGCCUCUCUCUGCCUCGGCAUCACAGCUGUGAUGAACCUGCUGUGGUCUGGAGCGGUGAGGAACAGUGAGGUGGUGUGCAGCGCAGGAUUAGCUCUGUCUCUGGUGAGGAAUCACAUCAUGUGAGAAUGAAAAACUGCAAUGAGGCUCAUAAAACAGUCAUAAACACACACACACACACACACACACACACACACACACACACACACCUCUCUAACAUGUUUAGUCAUGAUGAGGUUUCUGUUUAAUGCUGAAAUGUGAAUAUGAAGAGAAUAAUGC